AGGUGUCAUUACUUUGAGAGGAAAACAAGAUGCAAACGGUUUUGACCAUAGUGUCCCUGAUGCCUGACACCCCUGCCCCCAACCAGCUGCCUGCCCAGAUGCCUCAGCCCCCGACGUGGGCCAUGUCCAAGCCACCAGGAACACAGUGCCAAGGAAAACCUAAGCUUGGGCAGGGGAGCCAUAUCCUAUGGUUUCACUCCCCAAUCUCGCCAGCGAGGCGCGGAUGGCACUUACUUCCCCAUCCCAACUCCGGCCUGGGUACUUACUGAGGGCCUACUAAGUGCAGAGCGUGGUGCCAGGCUCUGGGGAGGUAGUGUGAGCAGGAGUGGCCUGCUGCUCCUGGAGCUCACAGUCGUGGGGAAAGCAGACUAGAAAACAAGAAUGAAAGCAGGGCCCUCAACGCUGCUCUCUCCCCAGCACCUACAACAGUGCCUGGCUCACAGGUCAGCUUUUUCACUCUUCACCUGCCUGGAGAGGAGGGGUGUUCUUUCUUCAGCUACCGGAGCCUUGGUUAGAACAGGAAAUCUGGCAUCAGACCUGAGUUUGAAUCCCUCUGGCUCCACAAUUUGACAUCUGCGUGAUCUUGGGUAAGUUACUUCACCUCACUCACCCUUUGGACCCUCAGCUUCACAAAGGGAAGACAAGCACUUGGCACAGGUGUGCCAUGGAUUAGAAAUCAGAUGUGUAAAGCACCUACCACAGCAUCUGGC